CCGCGUGAGUGAUGAAGGUUUUCGGAUCGUAAAGCUCUGUUGUUAGGGAAGAACAAGUGCCGUUCAAAUAGGGCGGCACCUUGACGGUACCUAACCAGAAAGCCACGGCUAACUACGUGCCAGCAGCCGCGGUAAUACGUAGGUGGCAAGCGUUGUCCGGAAUUAUUGGGCGUAAAGGGCUCGCAGGCGGUUUCUUAAGUCUGAUGUGAAAGCCCCCGGCUCAACCGGGGAGGGUCAUUGGAAACUGGGGAACUUGAGUGCAGAAGAGGAGAGUGGAAUUCCACGUGUAGCGGUGAAAUGCGUAGAGAUGUGGAGGAACACCAGUGGCGAAGGCGACUCUCUGGUCUGUAACUGACGCUGAGGAGCGAAAGCGUGGGGAGCGAACAGGAUUAGAUACCCUGGUAGUCCACGCCGUAAACGAUGAGUGCUAAGUGUUAGGGGGUUUCCGCCCCUUAGUGCUGCAGCUAACGCAUUAAGCACUCCGCCUGGGGAGUACGGUCGCAAGACUGAAACUCAAAGGAAUUGACGGGGGCCCGCACAAGCGGUGGAGCAUGUGGUUUAAUUCGAAGCAACGCGAAGAACCUUACCAGGUCUUGACAUCCUCUGACAAUCCUAGAGAUAGGACGUCCCCUUCGGGGGCAGAGUGACAGGUGGUGCAUGGUUGUCGUCAGCUCGUGUCGUGAGAUGUUGGGUUAAGUCCCGCAACGAGCGCAACCCUUGAUCUUAGUUGCCAGCAUUCAGUUGGGCACUCUAAGGUGACUGCCGGUGACAAACCGGAGGAAGGUGGGGAUGACGUCAAUCAUCAUGCCCCUUAUGACCUGGGCUACACACGUGCUACAAUGGACAGAAC
rnacentral:rRNA from 2 species